rnacentral:rRNA from 1 species
ACCAGACUCCUACGGGAGGCAGCAGUGGGGGAUAUUGCACAAUGGGGGGAACCCUGAUGCAGCGACGCCGCGUGGGUGAAGAAGCGCCUCGGCGCGUAAAGCCCUGUCAGCAGGGAAGAAAAUGACGGUACCUGAAGAAGAAGCCCCGGCUAACUACGUGCCAGCAGCCGCGGUAAUACGUAGGGGGCAAGCGUUAUCCGGAUUUACUGGGUGUAAAGGGGGCGCAGACGGCGAUGCAAGCCAGGAGUGAAAGCCCGGGGCCCAACCCCGGGACUGCUCUUGGAACUGCGUGGCUGGAGUGCAGGAGGGGCAGGCGGAAUUCCUGGUGUAGCGGUGAAAUGCGUAGAUAUCAGGAGGAACACCGGUGGCGAAGGCGGCCUGCUGGACUGCAACUGACGUUGAGGCCCGAAAGCGUGGGGAGCAAACAGGAUUAGAUACCCGAGUAAAA